rnacentral:rRNA from 1 species
AACAAACGCUGGCGGCGUGCCUAAUACAUGCAAGUCGAACGGGGAAAGCUUUCGGGUGAGUACUAGUGGCGCACGGGUGAGUAACGCGUGGAUAAUCUGCCUUAGAGUGGGGGAUAACUAGUCGAAAGAUUAGCUAAUACCGCAUAAGACCACAAGAACUGCGGUUCAAGGGGUCAAAGGUUUUUCGCUCUAAGAUGAGUCCGCGUAAGAUUAGCUAGUUGGUAGGGUAACGGCCUACCAAGGCGACGAUCUUUAACUGGUAUAAGAGGAUGAUCAGGCACAAUGGAACUGAGACACGGUCCAGACUCCUACUGGAGGGAGCAGUAGGGAAUAUUGCACAAUGGAGGAAACUCUGAUGCAGCGACGCCGCGUGAGUGAUGAAGGCCUUCGGGUCGUAAAGCUCUGUCGCAGGGGAAUAACACAAUGAAGGUACCCUGUAAGAAAGGAUCGGCUAACUUCGUGCCAGCCGCCGCGGUAACAC